GUGUUUCAACUAUAUCAGCACCCCAAAGACAUGGACUGAAGCUCAGAUUUUUUGUCAGUUCGAUGGCGGCAACCUGGCAUCCAUUCACAGUUAUGAGGAAAACCACUUUGUCCAGUCUUUGACCAGAGGGGACACCCACAACUUCCCAGAAACCUGGGCUGGUGCCACUAAUGCCAUCCAUCCUAGGUUUUGGAUGUGGAUUGAUGGCUCCAAGUUUGACUAUAAAAACUGGUGCAGUGAUGACGAUCAUAAUCA